GAUGAACGCUGGCGGCGUGCCUAAUACAUGCAAGUCGAGCGAACAGAUGAGGAGCUUGCUCCUCUGACGUUAGCGGCGGACGGGUGAGUAACACGUGGAUAACCUACCUAUAAGACUGGGAUAACUUCGGGAAACCGGAGCUAAUACCGGAUAAUAUAUUGAACCGCAUGGUUCAAGAGUGAAAGACGGUUUUGCUGUCACUUAUAGAUGGAUCCGCGCCGCAUUAGCUAGUUGGUAAGGUAACGGCUAACCAAGGCAACGAUGCGUAGCCGACCUGAGAGGGUGAUCGGCCACACUGGAACUGAGACACGGUCCAGACUCCUACGGGAGGCAGCAGUAGGGAAUCUUCCGCAAUGGGCGCAAGCCUGACGGAGCAACGCCGCGUGAGUGAUGAAGGUCUUCGGAUCGUAAAACUCUGUUAUUAGGGAAGAACAAAUGUGUAAGUAACUAUGCACGUCUUGACGGUACCUAAUCAGAAAGCCACGGCUAACUACGUG
rnacentral:rRNA from 1 species